AUGUUGAUGGGAGUGUUGGCGAUAUCGAGGAUACACGGAGGGAGAUGCGAUGCUAGUGUAGAAUCAGAGAGGGUUGACAGUUUAGUUGGACAGAAGUGGGGAGGGGUUCAUUCGGUGAUGAUGGUGGUGUUGGCGGAGGUAGGGAAGCCUUGGUAUGGUCUGAAGCUAGAAGAGACAGAGGGAGUUACGGUGGGAUAUGAGACAGGUUUGGAGGAAAUUGUGGAUUUUUAUUCUCUGGUCGUUCAACAAUAA